rnacentral:rRNA from 1 species
AUUGAACGCUGGCGGCAGGCCUAACACAUGCAAGUCGAACGGCAGCGGGGGAUAGCUUGCUAUCCUGCCGGCGAGUGGCGGACGGGUGAGUAAUGCAUGGGGAGCUGCCCAGUCGAGGGGGAUAACAACUGGAAACGGUUGCUAAUACCGCAUACGCCCUAAGGGGGAAAGGUGGGGAACUUCGGUCCUACCGCGAUUGGAUGCGCCCAUGUGGGAUUAGCUAGUUGGUGAGGUAACGGCUCACCAAGGCGACGAUCUCUAGCUGGUCUGGGAGAAUGACCAGCCACACUGGAACUGGGCAACGGUCCAGACUCCUACGGGAGGCAGCAGUGGGGAAUAUUGCACAAGGGGGGAAACCCUGAUGCAGCCAUGCCGCGUGUGUGAAGAAGGCCUUCGGGUUGUAAAGCACUUUCAGUCAGGAGGAAGGGGUGAUGGCUAAUAUCCAUCAUCAUUGACGUUACUGACAGAGGAAGCACCGGCUAACUCCGUGCAGCCGCCGCCGUAA